GACGAAUGCUGGCGGCGUGCCUAAUACAUGCAAGUUGAGCGAUGAAGAUUGGUGCUUGCACCAAUUUGAAGAGCAGCGAACGGGUGAGUAACGCGUGGGGAAUCUGCCUUUGAGCGGGGGACAACAUUUGGAAACGAAUGCUAAUACCGCAUAACAACUUUAAACAUAAGUUUUAAGUUUGAAAGAUGCAAUUGCAACACUCAAAGAUGAUCCCGCGUUGUAUUAGCUAGUUGGUGAGGUAAAGGCUCACCAAGGCGAUGAUACAUAGCCGACCUGAGAGGGUGAUCGGCCACAUUGGGACUGAGACACGGCCCAAACUCCUACGGGAGGCAGCAGUAGGGAAUCUUCGGCAAUGGACGAAAGUCUGACCGAGCAACGCCGCGUGAGUGAAGAAGGUUUUCGGAUCGUAAAACUCUGUUGGUAGAGAAGAACGUUGGUGAGAGUGGAAAGCUCAUCAAGUGACGGUAACUACCCAGAAAGGGACGGCUAACUACGUG
rnacentral:rRNA from 1 species